rnacentral:lncRNA from 1 species
CUGCGCGGUACAGGGAGUCACCCGGAAGAGCGGGAAGGAAAGGUUGGGAGGGUUGUCGUGGAAGAACCCCCUCCAAGCCUCUGCAUGUGCCACGUCCCCCACUGGGGCUCACUCACCCGAGACUUUUAAACUGAGACUCCCUCAAAAGCUACUAAGACGAUCACCAGCCGGGCGCAGUGGCUCACGCCUGUAAUCGCAGCACUUUGAGAGGCUGAGGCGGAUGGAUCACUUGAGGUCGGGAGUUUGAGGCCAACCUGGACAAUAUGAUGAAACCCCGUCUCUACUAAAUAUACAAAAAUUAGCUGGGCGUGAUGGCGGGCACCUGUAAUCCCAGCUACUCAGGAGGCUGAGGCAGUAGUAUCGCUUGAACCUGGGAGGUAGUUAUUGCAGUGAGCUGAGAUCGCACCACUGCACUCCAGCCCGG